rnacentral:rRNA from 1 species
GACGAACCGUGCGAACGUUGUUCGGAAUCACUGGGCUUAAAGGGCGCGUAGGCGGGCCAUGAAGUCCAGGGUGAAAGCCCCCAGCUUAACUGGGGAAGUGCCUUGGAAACCAGUGGUCUUGAGGGAGGUAGGGGUGCGUGGAACUUCUGGUGGAGCGGUGAAAUGCGUUGAUAUCAGAAGGAACGCCGGGGGCGAAAGCGACGCACUGGAUCUCUUCUGACGCUGAGGCGCGAAAGCUAGGGGAGCAAACGGG